UAACACUGCAAUGACAUCAAUAUACAUAAUCCUUUGACUAUAAUCUCUGAUUAUUUCCUUAGAAAGGAUUCCUAGAAUCACACCAAGUGUUUUAAUGCCACUGCCAGAGACAAAAAAUUGGUCCAGAGAGACCUUGUUUCCGAACCAGGAUGGGCCCACAAUGCAGCUUCCAGAUCUGUACCACAAUAAGGACAGCAUCUGAAACAUACCAUGCCUGACUAAUAACCCC
rnacentral:lncRNA from 1 species